UACGUAGGGUGCAAGCGUUAAUCGGAAUUACUGGGCGUAAAGCGUGCGCAGGCGGCUUUGCAAGACAGAUGUGAAAUCCCCGGGCUUAACCUGGGAACUGCAUUUGUGACUGCAUGGCUGGAGUGCGGCAGAGGGGGAUGGAAUUCCGCGUGUAGCAGUGAAAUGCGUAGAUAUGCGGAGGAACACCGAUGGCGAAGGCAGGUCUCUGGGCUGACACUGACGCUCAUGCACGAAAGCGUGGGGAGCAAACAGG
rnacentral:rRNA from 1 species